rnacentral:rRNA from 1 species
CACGUAGGGCGCAAGCGUUGUCCGGAAUUGUUGGGCGUAAAGAGCUCGUAGGCGGUCUGUUGCGUCCGCUGUGAAAACUCGGGGCUUAACCCCGAGCCUGCAGUGGGUACGGGCAGACUAGAGUGAUGUAGGGGAGACUGGAAUUCCUGGUGUAGCGGUGAAAUGCGCAGAUAUCAGGAGGAACACCGAUGGCGAAGGCAGGUCUCUGGGCAUUAACUGACGCUGAGGAGCGAAAGCAUGGGGAGCGAACAGG